GAUGAACGCUGGCGGCGUGCCUAAUACAUGCAAGUCGAGCGAACAGACGAGGAGCUUGCUCCUCUGACGUUAGCGGCGGACGGGUGAGUAACACGUGGAUAACCUACCUAUAAGACUGGGAUAACUUCGGGAAACCGGAGCUAAUACCGGAUAAUAUAUUGAACCGCAUGGUUCAAUAGUGAAAGACGGCUUUGCUGUCACUUAUAGAUGGAUCCGCGCCGCAUUAGCUAGUUGGUAAGGUAACGGCUUACCAAGGCAACGAUGCGUAGCCGACCUGAGAGGGUGAUCGGCCACACUGGAACUGAGAAACGGUCCAGACUCCUACGGGAGGCAGCAGUAGGGAAUCUUCCGCAAUGGGCGAAAGCCUGACGGAGCAACGCCGCGGGAGUGAUGAAGGUCUUCGGAUCGUAAAACUCUGUUAUUAGGGAAGAACAAAUGUGUAAGUAACUAUGCACGUCUUGACGGUACCUAAGCAGAAAGCCACGGCUAACUACGU
rnacentral:rRNA from 1 species